rnacentral:tRNA from 1 species
GGAGUGAUACCCAAGUGGUGAAGGGGACGGUUUGCUAAACCGUUAGCGGGCUUUUGCCCGGCGAGGGUUCGAAUCCCUCUCACUCCA